rnacentral:RNase_P_RNA from 1 species
CGACCGAGUUGGGCGAUCGCGCGGUAUGGUGCCGAAAGGUGUUACCGUGAGGAAAGUCCGGGCUUCACAGGGCAGGAUAACUGAUAACGUCAGCCGGAGGCGACUCCCGGGAAAGUGCAACAGAAAUAAACCGCCAAGGAAGCUUGGUAAGGAUGGAAAGGCGAGGUAAGAGCUCACCCAAGGGGCGGGUAACCGUUCUUUGCUGUAAACCCUAUCCGAAGCAACACCGCAUGGGGAUCGUCGGCCCGACACAUAUCCCCGGGUGGCACGGCGAAAGCCGAAGCUUGACGGUGACGUCAAGCGAAGAUAGAUGAUCGCACACGACAGAACCCGGCUUAUAGGCUCGAUCGCAAC